UGACCGCUGGCGGUAGGCCUACCACAUGCACGUCGCACGGCAGCACAGUAAGAGCUUGCUCUUACGGGUGGCGAGUGGCGGACGGGUGAGGAAUACAUCGGAAUCUACUUUUUCGUGGGGGAUAACGUAGGGAAACUUACGCUAAUACCGCAUACGACCUACGGGUGAAAGCAGGGGAUCUUCGGACCUUGCGCGAUUGAAUGAGCCGAUGUCGGAUUAGCUAGUUGGCGGGGUAAAGGCCCACCAAGGCGACGAUCCGUAGCUGGUCUGAGAGGAUGAUCAGCCACACUGGAACUGAGACACGGUCCAGACUCCUACGGGAGGCAGCAGUGGGGAAUAUUGGACAAUGGGCGCAAGCCUGAUCCAGCCAUACCGCGUGGGUGAAGAAGGCCUUCGGGUUGUAAAGCCCUUUUGUUGGGAAAGAAAAGCAGCAGGUUAAUACCCCGCUGUUCUGACGGUACCCAAAGAAUAAGCACCGGCUAACUUCGUG
rnacentral:rRNA from 1 species